rnacentral:miRNA from 14 species
CUCUUCCUCUUCCUCUUCCUCUGGCACUUGCUAGUUUCAAUCAAACGAUAUCAGUUAUGUUCCAGGCACUAGGUUAUGUGCUGUAACAUGCAUAGCUAAAUGCAGAUAUAGUCUUGCCCUCAUGGAGAUUACA